GUGUUCUUCAGAUGAUGCAGACGAGAAUUGGGGCUUUACAGGGAGCUGUUGAUAGGAUAAAAGCAAAAAUUGUUGAACCAUACAAUAAGAUAGUUGCCCGGACUGCACAACUAGCAAGACUUCAGGUAGUUUCUUACUUUUAUUUCUUUAUACUUUAUUAUUCAUUUUGUUUUCAUAAGUGGACAAAAUUUAAGAGUAUGAGUUUGGAAGAAGUAAGAGAAUGGGAACAGAAGGUAAG
rnacentral:ncRNA from 2 species